GCGAGUUAAAAAACUCCCAACCAUUGUGAACCUACCUACACUGUUGCUUCGGCGGGUGGCUUAUAGCCGCCGUACGUCCCCUUCAAAGGACGUAACCCGCCGGAGGUAUACAAACUCUAGUUAUUAUUAGCCUCUCUGAGUAACUUUUAAAUAAUAA
rnacentral:misc_RNA from 1 species